ACUGGUGUAAUAACUCCUUGAACCGCUCCUAUGCCUCAUAUAAAGAUUCUUCAUCAAGUUACUGAAAUGAAGUGAUUUCAUUUC
rnacentral:snoRNA from 1 species